rnacentral:rRNA from 1 species
AAUCCUUGCAAUGAACUACUGAUGCAGCCACGCCGCGUGGAGGAUGACGCAUCUUCGGUGUGUAAACUCCUUUUAUAUGUCAAGAAAAUGACGGUAGCAUAUGAAUAAGCACCGGCUAACUCCGUGCCAGCAGCCGCGGUAAUACGGAGGGUGCAAGCGUUAUUCGGAAUCACUGGGCGUAAAGGACGCGUAGGCGGGAUGCCAAGUCUGAUGUGAAAUCCUAUGGCUUAACCAUAUAACUGCAUUGGAAACUGGUAACCUAGAGUAUGGGAGGGGGAGAUGGAAUUAUUGGUGUAGGGGUAAAAUCCGUAUAUAUCACUAGGAAUACCGAAAGCGAAGGCGAUCUCCUGGAACAAUACUGACGCUAAGGCGUGAAAGCGUGGGGAGCAAAUGGGAUUAGAUACCCCAGUAGUCAACA